rnacentral:rRNA from 1 species
AGACCUACGGGAGGCAGCAGUGGGGAAUAUUGCACAAUGGGGGAAACCCUGAUGCAGCGACGCCGCGUGAGUGAAGAAGUAUUUCGGUAUGUAAAGCUCUGUCAGCAGGGAAGAAAAUGACGGUACCUGACCAAGAAGCCCCGGCUAACUACGUGCCAGCAGCCGCGGUAAUACGUAUGGUGCAAGCGUUAUCCGGAUUUACUGGGUGUAAAGGGAGCGCAGGCGGCACGGCAAGCCUGAUGUGAAAGCCCGCGGCCCAACCGCGGGACUGCAUUGGGAACUACCGGGCUGGAGUGCCGGAGAGG